rnacentral:rRNA from 1 species
AAUGAACGUUGGCGGCGUGGAUUAGGCAUGCAAGUCGAACGGGAGUAGCAAUACUCUAGUGGCGAAAGGGACAGUAAUACGUAGAUACGUACCCUCCGGCCUGGGAUAGUCCACCGAAAGGUGGGGUAAUACCAGAUGAUGUCUUCGGACCACAGGUGUGAUUCCGUCCGGGGAGGGGCCCACGUCCUAUUAGCUAGUUGGUGGGGUAACGGCCUACCAAGGCAGUGAUGGGUACGGGGCGUGAGAGCGUGCCCCCGCUCACUGGGACUGAGACACUGCCCAGACACCUACGGGUGGCUGCAGUCGAGGAUCUUCGGCAAUGGGCGCAAGCCUGACCGAGCGACGCCGCGUGCGGGAUGAAGGCCUUCGGGUUGUAAACCGCCGUCGGAGGGGAGGAAAUGCUAUGGGGUUCUCUUCAUAGUUUGACCUAUCCUCAGAGGAAGUACGGGCUAAGUUCGUGCCAGCCGCCGCCGUAAGAC